UACGUAGGGCGCAAGCGUUGUCCGGAAUUAUUGGGCGUAAAGAGCUCGUAGGCGGUUUGUCGCGUCUGCUGGGAAAACCUAAGGCUCAACCUUGGGCUUGCAGUGGGUACGGGCAGACUAGAGUGCGGUAGGGGUGACUGGAAUUCCUGGUGUAGCGGUGGAAUGCGCAGAUAUCAGGAGGAACACCGAUGGCGAAGGCAGGUCACUGGGCCGCAACUGACGCUGAGGAGCGAAAGCAUGGGGAGCGAACAGG
rnacentral:rRNA from 1 species